rnacentral:rRNA from 1 species
GGGGAGCAAACAGGAUUAGAUACCCUGGUAGUCCACGCCGUAAACGAUGAUUACUAGGUGUCGGGAGGCAAAGCCUUUCGGUGCCGCAGCCAACGCAAUAAGUAGUCCACCUGGGGAGUACGUUCGCAAGAAUGAAACUCAAAGGGAUUGACGGGGACCCGCACAAGCGGUGGAGCAUGUGGUUUAAUUCGAAGCAACGCGAAGAACCUUACCUGGCCUUGACAUCCCGGUGACAGCGAAGUAAUGUUCGUUUUCCUUCGGGACACUGGAGACAGGUGGUGCAUGGUUGUCGUCAGCUCGUGUCGUGAGAUGUUGGGUUAAGUCCCGCAACGAGCGCAACCCUUACCUUCAGUAGCCAGCAUAUUAGAUGGGCACUCUGGAGGGACUGCCAGGGACAACCUGGAGGAAGGUGGGGAUGACGUCAAAUCAUCAUGCCCCUUAUGGCCAGGGCUACACACGUGCUACAAUGGCGUAAACAAAGAGAAGCGACCACGCGAGUGUGAGCGAAUCUCAAAAAUAACGUCUCAGUUCGGAUUGUAGUCUGCAACUCGACUACAUGAAGCUGGAAUCGCUAGUAAUCGCAGAUCAGAAUGCUGCGGUGAAUACGUUCCCGGGUCUUGCACUCACCGCCCGUCA